rnacentral:lncRNA from 1 species
UAGUUUUGCUAAUAAUGGUAUUCUACGUGUGUCAGCCUCGUGUGGACUUCUGUAAUGACUAAUGGAUAUGUUUAUAUCCUGAGCAUUUGCUGUAGGAAUUUUAAAUGCAAUCCCAAAACUCAAGAUUACCUUAUUUGGAGAAAUAUUCGUGUUACUAUGUUUAAAAUUUAAUAGAACCAUAUUUUACCUUUCACUUUGGGACUCGCACAGGAUGUUUGCAGCUCUUGAUAUACAGGAACUAGAACGUGUCUUUUAAGAGCAUGCGGUUUUAUAAUUACGUGGAAGUAUGCUACGCAAGGGAAAAAAGCCUCUUGCUAGUGUUAAGGGUCUUCAUAAACAGAAACCGCAAGGAACCUGGGAUCUGACAGCUGUUGGAGGAAUGCCUGUGAGGAAGGAGGAGGAACAGAAGAAUGCUUUGAUGUCUUAAAUGGUACAUCCAAACUUAAGUGAAAUAGAGCUGUGAGGACAUUUUGGGGAGAAGUGACCUAGAUAAGCACUGACUGUUGCAUUCAUCUCUCUUCUUGCUGAUUGUGAUGAUUUCCUGUGCCAUAGCCAUUCAAAGUCUGCCAAAAAAGGCCUUGCCUCCUGGAUGGCAUUUUUGAACCCACCCUGGGCCAGAGGGGAGCCCACUUCUUUGAAGACAGAAACACAGGACUGGCAACAUUUACCAUAAGCUGACUGAGCAGCCAUUGGGCCUUGAGUGAACAUUGGUGGUAGCCAGGCAGUACUUGUCUCAGUACUUGCCUCAGGCCUGGGGUGUCGGUGACCACAGGGAGAGCAUCCAUCUGCUUGAGGAAAGGAGAACAAAGAAAAUAAAGGGCUUAAUCUUGCACUUGAUUGCCAGCUCAGCCAUAGUAGAAUACAGCACCAAGUAAAUUCCUAAGGAUCCUGAUUCCAGGUCCUGGCUCCCAGAUGACAUUUUAGGACUUGUCUUGGGCUUAGGGGGAGCUCGUCAUACUGAAGGGAAAAACACAAGCCUGGCUGGAUUUGCCACCAGCUGAAUAAAGAGUGCUUGGGCCUUGAGUGAACAUUGGCAAUAGCCAAGGAGUGGUCACCAUGGACCUUAGGCAAGAAACCCGGUGCCGUGCUGGCUUUGGAUCUGACCCAGCAUAAUCUCACUGCUAGCAUGUAAUUUUCUUUCUCUACUUCUCUACAUUUGGAGGAUGGAAAUGUAGAUGUUCUUCCAUUGUGCCAGCCUCCUCAUUCUUCUUUCUCCAAUGCCGCAUCUUCCUGCAAACUUCCUGCCACAACUCAAACAACAGGAAAAUAAAUGAUCUGAAAUCCUCCUGAACUGCAGCCUACCUAUCGUGGUCUCUAUGGGUGCAAACUUCCUUCCAGAAGCUUGUUCAGCUGGCUAAAACAGGACAUUUGCCAAUGCAGCCAAAAGUUGGGUCUUAUACUGGCUACCUCCUAUGCAGAGUGAAAAACUUUUCUUUCUCCCACAGCCACAGACAUCGCUCCUCUUCCAGCUCAACAUCUUUCAAAGGGAUGGCUCUCAGUCCCGAAAUGAAAAGAAAAGGUGGCUUGGUGCAAAUCAUUCUCUUUAUCAGCAAAAGAAAUACCAAAGCCUGUGUCCUUCUGACAUAGUGAGCUGUCGAGGUAGUCCAGGGAAAAGAUGACAGUGAAUUGAGUUAUGGGAUGGCAAUGGAGACUGAAAAGAAUCUGUGUUUAUUAUAUGUAUAUAUAUCAUUAAGGUAGAACUAGUGGAUUUUCUCUGGCACUGCACAUGGGAAGCAAGUGAAGGAGAGUGAUCUAGAAUGACGCCACCAUUUUUGCCUGAGAAAUUCAGUACUCAGAGGUGUCUGUCAUUCAGAGAGAUGGAGGAAACAAGAAGAGGAGCAAGUUGGGGGAGAGGGUAAGCAGAAUCAAAAACUGUGUUGAUACAUUAACUUUAGGAUGCAUAGUAGACAUCAGAGUACAGAUGGAGUUUAGGAGCAAAGUUAUAUAGAGAGAUAAAUUUGAGAACCUGUAAUUCUUUUAUUUGUGGCAGAUAAUUAGACAAAUGAUUUCUAAAUAUUCCCAUGACUACUACAGAACAUCAAUAA